rnacentral:rRNA from 1 species
AACGAACGCUGGCGGCAUGCCUAACACAUGCAAGUCGAACGAGACCUUCGGGUCUAGUGGCGCACGGGUGCGUAACGCGUGGGAACCUGCCCUUAGGUUCGGAAUAACUCCCCGAAAGGGGUGCUAAUACCUGAUAAUGUCUUCGGACCAAAGAUUUAUCGCCUUUGGAUGGGCCCGCGUUGGAUUAGCUAGUUGGUAGGGUAAAAGCCUACCAAGGCGACGAUCCAUAGCUGGUCUGAGAGGAUGAUCAGCCACACUGGGACUGUGACACGGCCCAGACUCCUACGGGAGGCAGCAGUGGGGAAUAUUGGACAGUGGGCGAAAGCCUGAUCCAGCAAGGCCGCGUGAGUGAUGAAGGCCUUAGGGUUGUAAAGCUCUUUUACCCGGGAUGAUAAUGACAGUACCGGGAGAAUAAGCUCCGGCUAACUCCGUG